rnacentral:tRNA from 1 species
GGUAAAAUGGCUGAAGUUUAAGCGAUAAAUUGUAAAUUUAUUUAUAGGGUUACCUUUUUACC